rnacentral:lncRNA from 1 species
AUCAACGGCGCAGUGGUGUUGUUUUCCUUCAUGCCUCUAAUUUUGUCGCAUUAUUUAUAUUAUUAACACUGCUUUAUACUUACAUAGUGACAUCUCACAUGUGUUUCCUUUCUCUUUUCAUCUUUUAUGCGCCCCACUUAUCCUCCUUCAAAUUUCUUCAAAUUAAUGCAAUUUUUUCUUUUUUUUUUCCUAAAUAAUAAACUGUAGAGUUACUAAAAUUAUUCAUCAUGUUUGCAAAAUCACAAGACACUUUAAUCUAGUAUUUUAAAAGAACAAAAAUAUAAAAGAAAUAACAUUUGUUGUUUAAUUAUAGAUCUAGUUUAAUAUAUUAUAUCUACGUAUCUGAGUAUAGAACGAUUGCAAUUAUUA